CCUGUUGCCCCUCUCCCCCUGGUGCCUUAGCCCAACCUCCAUCAGACAGGAGUCCUCAGAUGGGGAGGAAUCAUCAGGGAUGUCCACAAUCUCCGACAUCAGCAGAGAUCCACUGUCCAUGGACACUAGUGAAAGAAAAUGGCAGUAGAGGUUCCCCUCUCUCCAGACAGCUCAGUGCCGUGAGCGUCAAACAUCGUUGCCUUAACAGUCACAACAGAGAAGGAUCAGCAUGGCCACAAGGUGCACAAGGUCCAGGGAGAAUAUGUGAAUACUGCAGGUCACAGUGGACAAAGUGCAGAUGAUGGUGGAGAGAAUGCUGAGACCACAAGCACUGAACAGAAGGUCCUGCAGAGAAAUAUACAAUCAGAA